AUAGUAAAUAGAGGACACACCUCUCCUCCACGUCUGAGAAUGAUUCAGGCCACGCGUCUGAUGUGAAACCCAAUAUCAAACCCUAAACCUACUACACCCCACACACCGGAACGAUGAGAAAGAUCAGAAAGAAGGAGAGAGAGAGAGAAAGGUAGCUGGCCAUGUCCCAUGUGUGUGCCGGAACGGCGGCGUUGCCUAUCACUGGUGGUGUGGUGGUGGUUAGAGAGAUUAUCAGUGUGUGGUGGUGUCGGAUUCAGGGUGCGGUUCCGGUGGUGACGGAAUCAGGGUGCGGGUCCGGUGGUGAUUAGCGGCGUAGAGAAGAUGAUAGGGUUCCGGUGAAGGUCCGACAAAGUUACGGUACCACGGGUGUCAGGAUCAACAUGAACAGACGACACCACGGGUGUCGGGAUCUUUGCCGGUGAGAGAUCUGAAUGUUUUAGGGUUCCGACGAAGUCAGCUUAGCUCCGGUGAGAACCUGCUUUCCUGAACCAGAUUAGUGUUUAUGAAAAAGGGGAACGCAUCCGGCAAACGCAAUAGGUUGUGGUGUCAUCUAGAGGGCGGUGUUCAUCAUCAAUCGGUGGUGUUCGAUUGUUUAUUAGGGCAGUGGUAAGUGGAAUUGGUACUAAAGCAAUCGAUUGGUUGUGUUCAAUGGUUUAGUGCAGUGUGCAUCACUGUUGUUUGGUCUCUACAUUCUGAAUUGGUUGCGUGUGAUGUGGAAACAAAAAUGAUGCUUCCAGCAUUUUUCAUGAACAACAUACAGAGAUUGUGCGUUAUAUUUUGGUCUCAACAGCAUUUGUCAUGAACAAGGAGUCAACUGAUCGGAGUUUGACUGAAUCUGAGUUUUCGACAGUACUUUAUGCUAUUCAUGAGGUUGUAAGCAUUAACAAUAAGAUCUGGACGACUUUCAAACCUUUUUACUCAUUUUGACUUGACGCAUUUGAGAUAUAAUACAAUGCAAUUCAGCCAAUCUCGGACGGUGAGCGGAAAAUGUUUAAUUUUGUGCGGGUGAGGCAUCAGCUAUUCUCUUACCAUAAAACUCUCAAAAUCAUGCUCCCAAAGAUAAGUGCAGUAUCGCGCCAUGAGACUUGGUUGGGUUGGAUUGUAUUUUCGUGGCUUGCUUCCACCUCUCUUUGAAGGGGGUGCCCCAAUGGUUUAUUAGUGAUGGAAGGGGGGGUUGUUCGACGCUGGGUUUAAGGGCGGUUUGUGGUGGACAUGGUGGUUGGAGAUACGACAGUCACUGGCACCGUUUUCUAUAACCAAUGUAAAGAUGGCCAGUUUGAUGCUCAAGAUUAUCCUCUUGGUGGUGAAGACAUUAGCGACACAAAGAAGACUAGGUGCCCGGACGUGUGAAGUAAAAAACUUUUGUGAUCUACGUAUAAACGGAAGAUUAUGUAAAUGUUAAAACUGUACUUCUAUAAUUCUCUAAUAUGUCACGUAUAAGUAAAAUGUUCAAACCGUGAACGAUUCGGCUUAGCGCGCUGCAACGCAAGCGUGGGUAUAAACCUAGUUAUUUGUAAAGAAAAAAAACUGUUCGAAGUGGCACGAAAUCCAGUGUGCCGAUUUA
rnacentral:lncRNA from 1 species